GCCAAUCAGUUCCUUUUAUCCAUCAACGCAGAUAGCAUUGGUGGAUCUGCAGAAGUUGAUGAACUUCACAAUGUAGAGGAAACUGAAGUGGAAAACUCUGAAUCUUCCUCUUCAUCCAGUGACAGGAGGAAGAGGAAGAAGAAGACCAAGAGGAAGAGCAUAGGAUAAAGGGGGACAGAUUGGCAAAAGAAGACAUGCUGAGAUGCAGCAGUUGAUGGAGAGACUUCUUACCAAACUGCAAUCUGCCAUAAACCAGCAACCGCUAAAUUUGGAUUAUUUGGAGUU